AGAGUUUGAUCCUGGCUCAGAUUGAACGCUGGCGGCAUGCCUUACACAUGCAAGUCGAACGGCAGCGCGGGGGGUAACUCCUGGCGGCGAGUGGCGAACGGGUGAGUAAUAUAUCGGAACGUGCCCUGGAGUGGGGGAUAACUAGUCGAAAGAUUAGCUAAUACCGCAUACGAUCUACGGAUGAAAGUGGGGGAUUCGCAAGAACCUCAUGCUCGUGGAGCGGCCGAUAUCUGAUUAGCUAGUUGGUAGGGUAAAAGCCUACCAAGGCGACGAUCAGUAGCUGGUUUGAGAGAACGACCAGCCACACUGGGACUGAGACACGGCCCAGACUCCUACGGGAGGCAGCAGUGGGGAAUUUUGGACAAUGGGGGCAACCCUGAUCCAGCAAUGCCGCGUGUGUGAAGAAGGCCUUCGGGUUGUAAAGCACUUUUGUCAGGGAAGAAACGGUGAGGGC
rnacentral:rRNA from 1 species